GAUGAACGCUGGCGGCGUGCCUAAUACAUGCAAGUCGAGCGAACAGACGAGGAGCUUGCUCCUCUGACGUUAGCGGCGGACGGGUGAGUAACACGUGGAUAACCUACCUAUAAGACUGGGAUAACUUCGGGAAACCGGAGCUAAUACCGGAUAAUAUAUUGAACCGCAUGGUUCAAUAGUGAAAGACGGUUUUGCUGUCACUUAUAGAUGGAUCCGCGCCGCAUUAGCUAGUUGGUAAGGUAACGGCUUACCAAGGCGACGAUGCGUAGCCGACCUGAGAGGGUGAUCGGCAACACUGGAACUGAGACACGGUCCAGACUCCUAAGGGAGGCAGCAGUAGGGAAUCUUCCGCAAUGGGCGAAAGCCUGACGGAGCAACGCCGCGUGAGUGAUGAAGGUCUUCGGAUCGUAAAACUCUGUUAUUAGGGAAGAACAAAUGUGUAAGUAACUAUGCACGUCUUGACGGUACCUAAUCAGAAAGCCACGGCUAACUACGUG
rnacentral:rRNA from 1 species